UGACUUUACCGAAAGAACCAAAGAAGAUGAAUCAUUGCAGUCACGAAAGCUUUAAAUCGAAAAUUAGUAAUUUUUGUUUAAACUAUAACCUCGUUUCAGAUCUCAUGCUGAAAUAUCCAGAAAACUGGGAACCAAUGGAAGGAAAACAACACCAAAUCAUUACUGUGGAUGAAAAAUCUAAAGAAUAUGCUUCUGUCAAGAAGAAUUUUACGGCAGCUGGCCCAAGUGUGACACGUAUUAUCUCGAUCAAAAGGAUUCAAAAUUUGAGAUUGUAUCGUGCAUACUUGGUCAUGGAGAAGUCAAUAGAGUCAAAAAGCACUGGAGGCAAAUAUGAGCAUGUCCUGUUCCAUGGCACAGACAAUGACGCUAUAAAAAAUAUCAAUCACAAUGGAUACAAUCGUGUUUACAAAGGGAAAAACGCUACCGUUUACGGUGAAGGGACAUACUUUGCAAAAGAUUCUGGAUUUUCUCAUUUGUAUACCAACCCUGACAAAAAUGGACACAGGUUUAUGUAUCAGGCCCGUGUCCUAACGGGUGCAUGCUGUGUCGGAAGUUCAGAAAUGAAGGAACCCCCCCUCAAAAUAAAAAAUGGAACUGAACGUUUUGACAGUGUUGUCGACAGUGUAACGUCACCCAGAAUAUUUGUGGUCUUCCACGACGACCAGGCCUACCCAGAAUACCUGAUAGAGUAUCUAUGAAUUUUACAUAUGAGCUCAUUAAUAUAUACAUUUUCAACCGUAAUUUAAAACGAAAUUAUGAAUAUAUGUAAUAAAGUAAUGUAAUACGUCGAGAAGUAAACAAGUCAGAUGUUAAUGCACCGGAGAACUUCGCCAAAUGCGGUUUUAUCGAAGGUGUGUUUAGUUGUCCAACAAUUCCUCAAACCACGGUUGGCGAUACUAAGGCCUUAUGGCGAUACUAAGGCCUUAUGGGAAAUAGGGGGUUGGGGUAACCGCGGCCACGGUCACACUCGUCAAAGCCUAACUAAGUUGCCAAAGUGGUCGCUCCAAGGAGGAGGGGAUUUGCCCACCCGCUACCUCCAUGGGCCGGUGGUGGUGGUGGUGAGAGAGGGAACGUAGAUGCGGGGUGAUUUGAAAUUACACAAAGCUCCAUACCGUGGUUAGCAAAUUGGUAAGCCGAAGGAAACCCGUAAAUACAUAAAUACCGUGGAUGCGAAAAACGCAGUUGGUGAGGGAUUGCUCUACACGGUUUACUUAAUGAGGUCUGUUUUCCGGAACGCAGGUGAUAUUUUAGCUAUACUCGGUUUGACGUUUGUAAGAUCGUUGCUGUUGGGCUUGCGAGAAGUGAGUGCUGCAUUCGUGUUUAGUGUGUUGUCCUUCCCCCACACCUCCGAUUAGCACAGUUGGCUACGUACGGUGCGAAAUAAGUUCUACAUACAAGAUAAUUUCGGACCCAAGAAUGCAACCCUAUUCUCAUUAUUCGUCGAAAGCGGUUUUCCCAACACGGCAUUUGCCAGGAAUGUAAUCAAUGUGUUUGGCGAGGAUGUCCUGUAUUUUACAUAAGUUUUUCAUAAUUCAUGUAUAUAUUUACAUUAUUUUCCAAAGUGCAAAUCUGAAAUAACAGUUCUCUAGUUUUACAAUAUUAUUUUAUUACAACUGACGCAAUGCAAAGCGGCGAAUUACUCUUAAACUGUUUCAAUUGAAGACUAAAACAAAAAACUGUAGGAUCUGCUUGUAGUUUAGUAUAGUUGAUUUGAUUAACAUCAAACCCUAAAUUAGUGAUUGCACGGCAUGUCCCAAAUGUGUGUGAUCUGGUGGUGGUCCUCACUGAAGAUAUUGUCUAUAACUUAUGCAUGCACACCGUAAAUGUAAUAUAUAUUUCAAAUCUGGGCACAUUUAAAUUGGACAUUAGGGAGAUGUAAUUAUUUUAAGAAAUGUAAAUGUAUACUUAAUAUAUCAGAUGUAUGACUCCAUAGCCUUUAAUUACAGUGAGAUCAAGUUAAGCGUUGCACAAUAGAUCCGGUGUGGAGUAUGAUAUAUUGUGUAACCUCUUGGGACAUUCAAAUAAACAAAGUUGGCCCAUUUGGCUUAUCUGUCUGGCAUUUAUUAGAUUAUAUAUUAGAUGUAUCUAUCGAUGGGACAUGAUAAGUGAAACAAAACUCAGUUUAACACGUAGUUAAAUGGUGACGUCACCCUGCUGCUCUAUUUAAGACCGAGAGCAAGUGAGGG